UGUUCAUUGUUUGUGCAACGGGGAAAAGACGUGUGCUUCACUAUUUUGCGUAUGUGCAGUGAUAAAUAAUUAGUGAGGUGCGUGUGUAAUAGGUGUUCUGGGUGCAGGAAGUGCUUAUUUAGUUUAUAGUGAAGUGAAUCUAAAAUGUGAAGUGUAGUGCCACGGAUAACGUCAUAUUACCGCCACUUGCAGGUUAACGUCACGGGGGCGGUCGUACUGCCACUAAAUAUUAAUGUAAUGGUGGAGGAGGAGGAUGCGGGGGCUGCUGGAGAUACAAUCUCGACUGCUGAUAAGGUCAAGUUUAAUGCCGGUGUGCACUGCUGGUGACAAGCGCCUUCGUGUCAUCGGCAGCACUGACGUACGUCUCUCAUGGGACCGACUGGGUUCCUGACCAUUCAAGCUCGCGUAAUUGCCAGCACCUCCCCACCACCCGAUCUCUCUGGAGGCACAAAUAUCUUGUGAUAGACAUCAAAUCACUCUGAAGUCUCAACCCAGUGGCUGCUGAAGAUGAUCCCUGGCGAAUGACUGCUCAGAAGCAGAUAUGUGUGCAUGAUGAGAAUAUCAGUUUUAAGACACCACUAUCAACCGCUGGUGCAUCAGCGCUUGUAUUGUAAUUUGGGAGUGAAUUGUGUCAGACACUUUCCCCAGCCAGUGCCACACACCUCCGUCACACAUGCUGAAUACUCUUCUAAUGCAUGUUGAUUAUGGGCUGCUGGAUGUAUAUUUUGGCAAUGAGCACAACAAACAUUUUUUAUAGUAAUUGGGAAAUGGCGGUCUUAUGACCUCUACACAGUGUGGCCCCCUCACUGGCAGCCUUGGCCUUUGAGUUGGUUAGCCCGACUGUUGGUAGUGGCUGCACCUGCACUAGUGGCGGGAUCGUCAUGAGCAGCAACACGAUCUGCAGAACCUGGGCCAUCGAUGUGGGGUCAAUGUAGUAAUAGUGGCUCUCUGCCAGCAGGAGCCCAGCCGCCUGUUCCGACAGUGAAGAUGAGGAUGUACAGAUGUGAUGCCAGCAACCCAACAAGGCCACAUUGCUUCCGUGCUAUGAUGCUUCACUGCUGUUAUCAGUGCCAGCGGUGGACAUACUGGCUGUUAGGGGCUCUACCAGAUAGUAUGGUGUCACUGUCACUGCAGAACCCACAAUCACCACCACCACUACCACAGUGGUAUAUGUUACCCGAAGGAUAUAAAGAUGAUGAAAUAAUGAGGGUGUAAUUUUCUUAUACAAAUUAAUAAAUACCAAUUAAGAGGA